rnacentral:pre_miRNA from 1 species
UGAAAAAAAAAACCUAAUUUUCCGUAUCCAACGUUUAAUUGUCCGUCUUAUAUGAAAUUUUUUUAUAAUUAAUAUUUUAAUUGUUAUUAGAUGAUAAAAUAUGAUUAAUACUUUAUACAUGACUUAUUUUUUUAAAAAAAAUUUAAAUAAAAUGGAUCAUUAAACAAUGAAACCCAGGUUUGUUUUUUUU